rnacentral:rRNA from 1 species
GAUGAACGCUGGCGGCGUGCCUAAUACAUGCAAGUCGAGCGAAUGGAUUAAGAGCUUGCUCUUAUGAAGUUAGCGGCGGACGGGUGAGUAACACGUGGGUAACCUGCCCAUAAGACUAGGAUAACUCCGGGAAACCGGGGCUAAUACCGGAUAACAUUUUGAACCGCAUGGUUCGAAAUUGAAAGGCGGCUUCGGCUGUCACUUAUGGAUGGACCCGCGUCGCAUUGGCUAGUUGGUGAGGUAACGGCUCACCAAGGCAACGAUGCGUAGCCGACCUGAGAGGGUGAUCGGCCACACUGGGACUGAGACACGGCCCAGACUCCUACGGGAGGCAGCAGUAGGGAAUCUUCCGCAAUGGACGAAGGUCUGACGGAGCAACGCCGCGUGAGUGAUGAAGGCUUUCGGGUCGUAAAACUCUGUUGUUAGGGAAGAACAAGUGCUAGUUGAAUAAGCUGGCACCUUGACGGUACCUAACCAGAAAGCCACGGCUAACUACGUGCCAGCCGCCGCCGUAA